GGGGGCGACAUGGCUUCGACGUGGAUCGCGAAACCUGAGGUGCAUGCCGAGGUGCAGAUGACCUCGUAAAUCCAUCUGCAAACCAAAUAAACGCCAACGACGACGUUUACGCACUGGCCGCUUAAGCCGGCCGGCCUCUGAUCAGCAGCUCGCUUACAAGCGGCUGGUUGGGGGUAACCCAAUUGUAAGCUCGCGCUGAAGUCUGUCCGGGGCCGAAGCGCUAAAACCCAACGGAAUCGCCGUCCGUCUUCCCUGCCACUCGGGUAGCGUCCGGCUAAAUCAAUAGAGUGGAUACGCAUGUAGAACCGAUGGCAGAGGAUUUGCGGACGCGGGUUCAAUUCCCGCCGCCUCCACCA
rnacentral:tmRNA from 16 species